GGCGGUCUGCUUAACACAUGCAAGUCGAACGCAAGCUUCGGGUUGAGUGGCGGACGGGUGAGUAACGCGUGAGAAUCUGCCUUGGGGUCGGGGACAACCACCGGAAACGGUGGCUAAUACCGGAUAAGCCUUUGGGUAAAAGAUUUAUUGCCCCAAGAGGAGCUCGCGUCUGAUUAGCUAGUUGGUGAGGUAAAAGCUCACCAAGGCAGCGAUCAGUAGCUGGUCUGAGAGGACGAUCAGCCACACUGGGACUGAGACACGGCCCAGACUCCUACGGGAUGCAGCAGUGGGGAAUUUUCCGCAAUGGGCGAAAGCCUGACGGAGCAAGACCGCGUGAGGGAGGAAGGCUCUUGGGUUGUAAACCUCUUUUCUCAGGGAAGAAGCUCUGACGGUACCUGAGGAAUCAGCCUCGGCUAACUCCGUGCCAGCAGCCGCGGUAAUACGGAGGAGGCAAGCGUUAUCCGGAAUUAUUGGGCGUAAAGCGUCCGCAGGUGGCGAUUCAAGUCUGCUGUCAAAGCACGGGGCUUAACUCCGUUAAGGCAGUGGAAACUGAAUAGCUAGAGUGCAGUAGGGGUAGAGGGAAUUCCCGGUGUAGCGGUGAAAUGCGUAGAGAUCGGGAAGAACAUCGGUGGCGAAAGCGCUCUACUGGACGGCAACUGACACUCAGGGACGAAAGCUAGGGGAGCGAAUGGGAUUAGAUACCCCAGUAGUCCUAGCUGUAAACGAUGGAUACUAGGUGUAGCUUGUAUCGACCCGAGCUGUGCCGAAGCUAACGCGUUAAGUAUCCCGCCUGGGGAGUACGCACGCAAGUGUGAUACUCAAAGGAAUUUACGGGGGCCCGCACAAGCGGUGGAGUAUGUGGUUUAAUUCGAUGCUACGCGAAGAACCUUACCAGGGCUUGACAUGUCCGGAAUCCCGGUGUAAGCUGGGAGUGCCUUCGGGUGCCGGAACACAGGUGGCGCAUGGCUGUCGUCAGCUCGUGUCGUGAGAUGUUGGGUUAAGUCCCGCAACGAGCGCAACCCUCGUCUUUAGUUGCCAGCAUUAAGUUGGGCACUAUAGAGAGACUGCCGGUGACAAACCGGAGGAAGGUGGGGAUGUACGUCAAGUCAGCAUGCCCCU
rnacentral:rRNA from 1 species